UGGGGAAUAUUGCACAAUGGGCGCAAGCCUGAUGCAGCCAUGCCGCGUGUGUGAAGAAGUCCUUCGGGUUGUAAAGCACUUUCAGCGGGGAGGAAGGCGUUAAGGUUAAUAACCUUGGCGAUUGACGUUACCCGCAGAAGAAGCACCGGCUAACUCCGUGCCAGCAGCCGCGGUAAUACGGAGGGUGCAAGCGUUAAUCGGAAUUACUGGGCGUAAAGCGCACGCAGGCGGUCUGUCAAGUCGGAUGUGAAAUCCCCGGGCUCAACCUGGGAACUGCAUUCGAAACUGGCAGGCUAGAGUCUUGUAGAGGGGGGUAGAAUUCCAGGUGUAGCGGUGAAAUGCGUAGAGAUCUGGAGGAAUACCGGUGGCGAAGGCGGCCCCCUGGACAAAGACUGACGCUCAGGUGCGAAAGCGUGGGGAGCAAACAGG
rnacentral:rRNA from 1 species